rnacentral:rRNA from 1 species
GUACGAAGGGGGCUAGCGUUGCUCGGAAUCACUGGGCGUAAAGGGUGCGUAGGCGGGUCUUUAAGUCAGGGGUGAAAUCCUGGAGCUCAACUCCAGAACUGCCUUUGAUACUGAAGAUCUUGAGUUCGGGAGAGGUGAGUGGAACUGCGAGUGUAGAGGUGAAAUUCGUAGAUAUUCGCAAGAACACCAGUGGCGAAGGCGGCUCACUGGCCCGAUACUGACGCUGAGGCACGAAAGCGUGGGGAGCAAACAGG